UAUAGUACAAGGAUGUAUGAGAUAUGGAAUCCAUAUCCUGGGAACACUAAAUAUUGAAUUCAUAAUCUAAGCACAUCGACUCAUGCCAACAUGCAUUGAAUCCCUAUAAAACAUUAACUCUCGCCAACGUGCAUUGGAUCCCCAUAAUAAGUAUGUUGACCCAUGCCAACAAAAAUUAGGUCACAAUUUUGAAACAAUGCAAAAAAAAUGUGUGUGAGAAAGUUGUAGAAACAUUGAUGGACAUUGAUGGUAAGAAAAAGGACACAUAACACUAGUCUUUGUAUGAUGGAUCUAGGCAUCAAGCAUAAUUUGCACCCAGUAGAAGUUGAUGGUCAAAUACAUGCACCCGACUUGUGACACAUUAUUUUUGGAACAUGCUAGGGGUCCGAAUUCGUAAAUUUAUGAGCGUUUUAGCACAUAACUUUGUUGUAGAACUCAUAUGAAUUACAAGUUAUGGUCCAAACAAGAUAACUCAUGAGCACAACCUGCAUGCGCAGAAGAGAAUUUCUAGUCAAUAAAGACACUCUUUUGUAUUUGGGACUUGUGUUAUGAAUGUGAAUUAUUACAAAAUUCAUAUAUAGUAGGGAUUCUGAAAAUCAGAUGGAGAAAUCUUGUCCGUUGAUUACUAGAGAAUUUUGAAUAACCAGAAUGAAUAAGACUUAGAUGUGUGCAAAUCAGCAAGGUCAUUCUGCAAAGCUUGAAAAGUACAUAGCUGCAUUUGUACGAAGCAAUUUCGAAUAAUCAAACUGUACCACAUUAACAUUGUAGUACAUUUAAAUCCAAUAAAUAAUAAAUAAACGUGUAUAUGGUCAAACAAGAAGAUUUGUACUAGAAAGAACCAUGAAGUACAAUGAAGUGAAAAUAGUACACAACUAAGUCCUAAGUUGUGCUAUAUGUUACCACUCUAAGGUAGGGAAGUUGAACAGAGAUAAGCGAAAGCCGUAGAGAGGUUCCACAUGAGUGACCUGAGAUCACAUGUAACGCUUGUGUAUUGCGCUUGAUGUUUUCUCAGGUUGCCCCUGCGGUACCUUCUCUACCAUAUCAUUGCACUGCCGUAGAUUUGAAUGGCCAUUGAUAACGGAACCGAAGUGCUACAUUGAAAGGUCUCAUGGCACUACAUUGUUUCAGUUCCCACUUCUCUUUUCUUCCUAGUAAUCCAGGAACCUUUUCUGGGACAUUAUUGACAUCCAGAACAGGAAGGCAGCCAGAAAACCCAACAGCUCGAGGCAACAUUCCAAUCGGACGCGGGUUCCCUGAUUUGGGCAGAACCCAUUUGUUUGUAUUUCCGACAUCAGCAUCUGUCUUCUUCAAUUCUUUGCUCUUCAUUUUGCGACAUUAAUCAGUUCUAGCUUCUUUGCCGCUUGACUAAUGAUUCAUCUUGCUUUAAAUGUAGAUAAUUUGUAUUUAUAAGAACACUAGAAGAACAUCUUCUGCAGUAUCCAAAUGUGAUGAAACUAAAAAGCAGUCCUCUGUCAGCUGUGCAAGAUGGAGGAGAGAAUCCAUGAGCUCAACCAGAAUUGCUUUGGAGACAGUUUUUUCUGCUGAAGAAACUUUUAGUUCCGCUUCAGAAUCUUUUUCAUGACGAGGUUCUAAUUCUUUGAAAUUUCCGUGAGCCAUGUGAACAGAGAGGAGAGGUGUUCAACCUCUGGCCUAUGGUCUACUGAUGAAAACUCUCCUAGACAAAUUCAUAAGAAUAGCAACCAGGAUUAGAACAUUUGGAUAUUUUAAAGUUUUGAGCACUUGAGAAAUCCAUCAGACGCUCAAUUUUGGUGAAGCA